UGGGUUGUUGGAGAGUUGUGAGUGCCGUGCUGAAUUUUCACUGUCCUUCGCAGUUCAAGCCUCUUUAUUGCAGAGGAAUGAUUAUGGCGAGUAGAAAGGCGAAACCAGUGGAAGGAAGAGAAUCCUUACUCAGAAAAUCUAAUGAAGGAAGCACAAAACCGCGGAAACGAAGAAAUUGAAAUAUUUAAAACUGUUUGGAUACUGAAAAUUCAGCAACGGAGGCACUCCUUCUCUAUAGGAUGAGGGUGGGUUGUUGGAGAGUUGUGAGUGCCGUGCUGAAUUUUCACAGUUCUUCGCAGUUCAAGCAUCUUUCCUGCAGA